rnacentral:tRNA from 1 species
GGCCCCAUCGUCUAGCGGUUAGGAUAUCUGGUUCUCAUCCAGAAGAUCAGGGGUUCGAAUCCCCUUGGGGCUA